rnacentral:tRNA from 1 species
UCCCCGGUGGUGUAGUGGGUAUCAUGCCCGACUAGUAUCCGGGAGACGCGGGUUCAAAUCCUGUUCGGGACA